rnacentral:rRNA from 1 species
GUCUAAAUAUCCUAAAGGCACCAGAGCCUAUUUGAUAUUGGAAGCUAAAUAGGGUCAGUCCUGGUUAGUACAUGGAUGGAAGACUGCCAAUGAAUAUCAGGUAUAAUAGGCU